UCACCUGAGUUGGUUUUCUGCUACACCAACUAGGUAGACUUAAUCCAGUGGAGUAGAACAUGAGCGAUAAAAUUAUUCACCUGACUGAU
rfam:Chania multitudinisentens RB-25, complete genome.